UGGGGAAUAUUGGACAAUGGGGGCAACCCUGAUCCAGCCAUGCCGCGUGUGUGAAGAAGGCCUUCGGGUUGUAAAGCACUUUAAGCAGGGAGGAAGGCUCGCAGAUUAAUAAUCUGCGGGAGUGACGUUACCUGCAGAAUAAGCACCGGCAAACUCCGUGCCAGCAGCCGCGGUAAUACGGAGGGUGCGAGCGUUAAUCGGAAUUACUGGGCGUAAAGCGUACGUAGGCGGUUUGUUAAGUCGGAUGUGA
rnacentral:rRNA from 1 species